rnacentral:rRNA from 1 species
AGUGAACGCUGGCGGCAGGCCUAAUACAUGCAAGUCGAACGGACGCACAGUAAGAGCUCGCUCCUGCGGGUGGCGGGUGGCGGAUGGGUGAGACAUACAUAGGAAACUACUUAUACUGGGAGGACAACGUGGGAACACAUAUACUACUACCGCAUAUGUUGUACGGGAGAAAUCAGUGGAUCAUCGCACUUUUCGUGUCUCAAUGAGCCGGUGCCGCAUUAGCUAGUUGGGGGGGUAAGGGCCCACCAAGGCGACGAUCCGUAGCUGGUCUGAGAGGAUGAUCAGCCACACUGGAACUGAGACACGGUCCAGACUCCUACGGGAGGCAGCAGUGGGGAAUAUUGGACAAUGGGCGCAAGCCUGAUCCAGCCAUGCCGCGUGGGUGAAGAAGGCCUUCGGGUUGUAAAGCCCUUUUGUUAGGAAAGAAAAGCAGCGGGUUAAUCCCUCGCCGUUCUGACGGUACCCAAAGAAUAAGCACCGGCUAACUUCGUG